rnacentral:rRNA from 1 species
UACGGAGGGUGCAAGCGUUAUCCGGAUUCACUGGGUUUAAAGGGUGCGUAGGUGGGUAGGUAAGUCAGUGGUGAAAUCUCCAAGCUUAACUUGGAAACUGCCGUUGAUACUAUUUAUCUUGAAUAUAGUGGAGGUGAGCGGAAUAUGUCAUGUAGCGGUGAAAUGCUUAGAUAUGACAUAGAACACCACUUGCGAAGGCAGCUUGCUACACUACUAUUGACACUGAGGCACGAAAGCGUGGGGAUCAAACAGG